AGCACUCAGAGGCCGUGCCCCGGUCCCAGCUCCUCCCAGCUCCUCCCAGCUCCGGGGGACGGGGGUGCCUCCGGCAGAGCAUUUCCCACUCUCUCUGUGCUUCAGUUUCCUUAUCUGUAAAAUGGGGAGGAGAAGCAUUAAUACUUUGGGCCCCUGGCCGGGCACAGGCAGUCAUCCAUUUGUGUGUGUGUGUCUGUGCGAGGUUCUGACUGGGGAGCCACACAGUCCACCCUAGGGACAGAGAGAGCCCAAGUCCAUGCCACUUGGUUAGAGAGCUGUCCCGGUGCGACACUGUGUGGCCCCGGCCCAGUGUCUUUCCUUCUCUGGGUUUGUGUCCUCAUUUGGUGCGUAGGGCGGAGCUCCUCUGCCCUGCACAACUCUGGGGGCCCAGGAGAGGGGCCAGCUCCAGCCGAGGGGCGUGCCAGAACGGAAGCCCCCUGAGGGCACAGCUCUUUUGCAGCUGGGUGUGGGAGCCCAGGAGAGAGCUGCAAAGGGCCUGGGGCCCACUCAGCCACCACGCCCUGUGCUUCUCCCCCAGUUCCCGAUGGGUCCAGGCUCAGACGGCCCGAUGGGAGGCAUGGGCGGCAUGGAGCCGCACCACAUGAACGGAUCGUUAGGGUCAGGUGACAUAGAUGGACUUCCAAAAAAUUCUCCGAACAACAUAAGUGGCAUUAGCAACCCUCCAGGCACCCCUCGGGACGACGGUGAGCUAGGAGGGAACUUCCUGCACUCCUUCCAGAACGACAAUGUAAG